rnacentral:rRNA from 1 species
UGUACGCAAGUCAUUGGGUAAAUAUUAAACCCAAAGGCAUAAUAAAAGUAAAUAUAAUGUAAAAAAAAAGGAAAAAUACUUUUUUAAUUUUUUUUUUACAUUACAAAGAGAAGAUGGUAUAUUGUUUUUUGUACUCUUUGGUAUAAAAGAUUGCCCGCAUUCUCAGGGCGCUAUUACUCUCGCUUUGCGAGUGUAUGCGCACCCAGAGCGUACACGAUAAUACCCGAAAGAUGGUGAACUAUGCCUGGCCAGGACGAAGCCAGGGGAAACCCUGGUGGAGGUCCGCAGCGAUUCUGACGUGCAAAUCGAUCGUCAGAGCUGGGUAUAGGGGCGAAAGACCAAUCGAACCAUCUAGUAGCUGGUUCCCUCUGAAGUUUCCCUCAGGAUAGCUUGCGCUCGUGAUGUGAUUAGUCUCAUCCGGUAGAGCGAAUGAUUAGAGGCAUUGGGGUCGAAACGACCUCAACCUAUUCUCAAACUCCAAAUAGAUGAGAAGGCCGGCUUUCUUAAAAUUGAAGCCGGUCAGAUAUAUUUGUUUUGUUUUGGAUAA